rnacentral:rRNA from 1 species
AAGGAUUCCUGACAUGCUAGCCCUGCAACGCCUUUCUCUGGAUGACUGUCAGCUCCCGUCGCACUUUGUCCCCUUGAAACAUCUGUCCUAAUUACUCUACUGCGGCCAGUCUCCACAAUAAGAUUGUGCAGUACUGCGGUCCGUCCGGGACUCUCGUUUCUUCUCCUCCCUUCUGUUCUGUUCGAGAGAGGCGACAGAGGAGGCGUCUCGGGCCCGGCCCGAUCCCGGAUCUUCGCCGCCGGCGACGCCGGUCGGAGAGGAGAUGGGGGAGGAGCUCGGAGCGCCGCUGUAGAUAGUAGAUGUAGCCUAGCUGUUUCCUUACUGGAGUUUGGCCUCGUGCCGGAGUUUGGCGUCAUGCCGAUGGGGACCUUGCCGCCGGCGCGCCCGAGCCGCGUGCGGUGGUUUUCGGAGGGGCUCCUGAUGGUGUGGUGAUUGGUUCGCUGCUGCUGGUCGGAAUCAAGCCGGAGUCCUCGGAAAUAAAGCUCGUGGGUGUCCCAGAUCUGGAGCUCAAGCUCCUUCUUCCCCACUUCUUCUCGAGCUGCCAUGGAGGUGGACUGGAAGAAGAGGGAGGAAGGGGAUUUAGUUGCUCUAUUCUUUCUGCGUGUCCUUGGAGCCUAGGUUUUGCAGCAAAUGGUGGGGGAUCUCGGUGCAAAGAGCAUCAGGAGGUUCUCGCCGCUGCGCCGCUGCACCUUCUGGUCGAAAGGCGACCACUCGGAGUUCCGGCGACGGCGUCCAGCUCCUCUAUUUCCUCCUGGCCGUCGAGCCAUAUGGGAGGCAGUUUACUAGGUUCUUCGUCUGGUAUUUCAACUGUCUACCUCCGGUCGUGCGCUGGUGGUGUUGUAGCCAUUCCUCCGCCCCAAGUGGUUUCGUCCCCGGUGGUGGUGGGAUCGGGCCAGGAUCGAAGACGGCGAAGAGGACUUGAUUGCUUUUCAAUUUUGUUGUCUAGGGUCCUAUCUACAAAAAUGUCUGGCCUGGAUUAUAAUUUUCUCUUUCUGUUGGGCCUUUAUGUAAGAUGUUGCAUGCUUAUCUAAUAUAAGUCUGGGUCCUUCGGGGCCCUUCUUGUGUUCAAAAAAAAAAAUUUACUCUACUGCUGAAACACGUCUGCACACGUACAGUUACCAGC